rnacentral:rRNA from 1 species
AUUGAACGCUGGCGGCAGGCCUAACACAUGCAAGUCGAACGAGUGGCGGACGGGUGAGUAAUGUCUGGGAAACUGCCUGAUGGAGGGGGAUAACUACUGGAAACGGUAGAUAAUAACGCAUACCACCGGCAGUGCUCAUAUGGGAUUAACUAGUGGGUGGGGUAAAGGAUACCCUAGUCGACCAUCCCUAGCUGGUCUAAGAGGAUGACCACCCACACUGGAACUAGGACACGGUCCAUACUCCUACGGGAGGCAGCAGUGGGGGAUAUUGCACAUUGGGCGCAAGCCUGAUGCAGCCAUGCCGCGUGUAUGAAGAAGGCCUUCGGGUUGUAAAGUACUUUCAGCGGGGAGGCGUUACCCGCAGAAGAAGCACCGGCUAACUCCGUGCCAGCAGCCGCGGUAAUAC